UACGAAGGGGGCUAGCGUUGUUCGGAAUCACUGGGCGUAAAGGGUGCGUAGGCGGGUCUUUAAGUCAGGGGUGAAAUCCCGGAGCUCAACUCCAGAACUGCCUUUGAUACUGAAGAUCUUGAGUCCGGGAGAGGUGAGUGGAACUGCGAGUGUAGAGGUGAAAUUCGUAGAUAUUCGCAAGAACACCAGUGGCGAAGGCGGCUCACUGGCCCGGUACUGACGCUGAGGCACGAAAGCGUGGGGAUCAAACAGG
rnacentral:rRNA from 1 species